AAAGGGUCCGUAGGCGGUUUGAUAAGUCAGUGGUGAAAGCCCAUCGCUCAACGAUGGAACGGCCAUUGAUACUGUCAGACUUGAAUUACUAGGAAGUAACUAGAAUAUGUAGUGUAGCGGUGAAAUGCUUAGAUAUUACAUGGAAUACCAAUUGCGAAGGCAGGUUACUACUAGUGGAUUGACGCUGAUGGACGAAAGCGUGGGGAGCGAACAGGAUUAGAUACCCCGGU
rnacentral:rRNA from 1 species